AUGAAGAAGGCUUGUCUCAUGUUGGGGCUUGGGACCAGAGCCGUGCUGGACCCCCGCAAGCCAGUUUCUCAGCUGAAUGGUGGGCCUCCUUUGCAAGCGAAGCUAAAAUGUGCCGCGCAUCAUCACAACCAGAACCAGCAUCAGCCAAAGCUCAUGAACGCAGCAAAUGGCUACCACCAAAUUCCUGCUGCCACGGCCUUCAAUGGUGGGGGUCAUCAAUGCGGCUGUGUGUGUGUGCCUGCACUGCAUGCAUGCAGUGGCUUGCCAACUGGAUGGAGCAGGUCAUCUGAUGAAGGCAGGAGUAGCUAUUCUUCAGUGCUGAGUGCUGACUGA
rnacentral:rRNA from 1 species